rnacentral:rRNA from 1 species
CCUACGGGCGGCAGCAGUGGGGAAUAUUGCACAAUGGGGGGAACCCUGAUGCAGCGACGCCGCGUGAGUGAAGAAGUAUUUCGGUAUGUAAAGCGCUAUCAGCAGGGAAGAAAAUGACGGUACCUGACUAAGAAGCCCCGGCUAACUACGUGCCAGCAGCCGCGGGAAUACGGAGGGGGCAAGCGUUAUCCGGAUUUACUGGGUGUAAAGUGAGCGUAGACGGUUAUGCAAGUCAGAAGGGAAAGCCCAAGGCUCAACCAGGGGACUGAUUUGGAAACUGUAAAACUGGAGGGAAGGAGAGGUAAGCGGAAUUCCUAGUGUAGCGGUGAAAUGCGUAGAUAUUAGGAGGAACACCAGUGGCGAAGGCGGCUUACUGGACUGUAACUGACGUUGAGGCUCGAAGGCGUGGGGAGCAAACAGGAUUAGAUACCCUUGUAGUC